rnacentral:rRNA from 1 species
AUGAUAAGAGAUAAUUUGGUGAAAGAGAUAUCUCCGUUGCUUGGGUGUUGCAUCGAGGCACCAAGAACAUUUCGUGCAAGUCUGAUUAGUGGAGCUUCUGUAGCAAACGUCUUGGCUCAGCAAGCUCCGAUCGGGCAUUGGCAGAGUAUUGUGCAAAUAUUAAGAAACUACCUGAAUGUUUUGAAAUCCAAUUAUGUUCCUUCAUUCUUAAUAUCCAAGCUGUUCGUUCAAAUAUUUUCAUAUAUUAAUGUCGAGUUGUUCCAUAGUCUGCUUCUCGGACGAGAGUGUUGUUCAUUUAGCAAUGAAGAAUAUGUCAAGGCUGGAUUGGUAGAGUAG